rnacentral:sRNA from 1 species
CUCCCAGGGACACGCACACCAGGCUUGCCCUUUGGAGCCUCUCCUGACCUUGGCCAGUGUGGGAGCUGCUGUCCCUGGGAGGAUCCGCCGCCCGCCCCAGGCGCUCACCAGCCUGGCUUCCACACCUGCUACCCACAGGGGCUGCCGGGGCCUACAUGGCGUGGCGAGGGCCAGGGAUGGUGAGCGCCCCACCCAUUCCUUCAUCCGUCACCUAAUAAAUGUGCUCUGAGGGUCCCAGUCCCCACUUUUUAGGCCACAGACUGUGGGGAUGUGGGAGGUCAGGUUUCAGCUAUUUUAGUGCAACCGAAGGUGCAUGUUGGGGGAUGUGGCUGGGGCGCCUGGGCCCUGGGACCCGUGCCCUGUGCAGCCGAGGCUGUUGCCCGCAGGAUUCAGUGCCCGGCCAUCCUGGCUGCCCUGGCCACCCUCCUGGGAGCUGUCCUCAGCUUCACCUGCAUCCCCGCCAGCACUAAAGGGGCCAAAACUGACGCCCAGGCUCCACUGCCAGGCGGCCCCCGGGCCAGUGUGUUCGACCUGAAGGCCAUCGCCUCCCUGCUGCGGCUGCCAGACGUCCCGAGGAUCUUCCUGGUGAAGGUGGCCUCCAACUUCCCCACAGGGCUCUUCAUGGUCAUGUUCUCCAUCAUCUCCAUGGACUUCUUCCAGCUGGAGGCCGCCCAAGCUGGCUACCUCAUGUCCUUCUUCGGGCUCCUCCAGAUGGUGACCCAGGGCCUGGUCAUCGGGCAGCUGAGCAGCCACUUCUCAGAGGAGGCGCUGCUCCGGGCCAGCGUGCUGGUCUUCAUCGUGGUGGGCCUGGCCAUGGCCUGGAUGUCCAGCGUCUUCCACUUCUGCCUCCUGGUGCCUGGCCUGGUGUUUAGCCUCUGCGCCCUCAACGUGGUCACUGACAGCAUGCUGACCAAGGCCGUCUCCUCCUCGGACACAGGGACCAUGCUGGGCCUCUGCGCCUCUGUACAACCACUGCUCCGAACUCUGGGACCCACGGUCGGCGGCCUCCUGUACCGCAGCUUUGGCGUCC